rnacentral:snRNA from 1 species
GUGCUUGCUUUGUCGGCAUAUUUACUAAAAUUGUAACCAUACAGAGAUUAGCAUGGCCCCUGUGCAAGGAUGACAUGCAAAUUUGUAAAGUGUUCCAUAUUUUU